AGGAUGACACCGGCGCUAGUAACCCGGUGAUUGAAGAGCAGGUUCACGAAAGCCGGCGUCUCACCCGGGCCCGCAAGGACACCGACCUCUCCGCCGGGUUACCCGACGCGACAAGGAAACGUCGCACCGAGGAGACCUCCCCUUCUUCUGGUGACUCCAUGCAGUCAAGUCUGCCGGCCUUCAAAACUGC